CCAUAUAUAUACCUAUCCACGUAUAAUUUUUUCUCAUAUGCUAGCAUUUUCUUCAUUUACUUAGUAAAUGUGUUCAUGCUUUUUAUGAGCAUAAAAUUCGAGCUUUCAUUAUGUAUUGUCAUAACUAAUACAUAACACAGUGCAAUUAGAAAGAAUUGUUUCAAAUUGAAAACUGCUGUCUGUGGUAAAAAUAAGACUUAGUGUUAUCACAAACCAGGUGGGACCAGCAAACUAAUUCCUUGUGAUAAAGUUUGUGAAAGGAGUGGAGGGGUGGAGUGGAGAUUUAUCCAAUUGUCCUCCAGUGCAAAAGAAGACAACUUAGUAAGCAUUCGAAUUUUGGUUGGAAACUGUUAAUCAUGUCACUGAAAACAGACUGUUGUGUAAGCUAGUCAAAGUGAUUACCAUCCUUGUCAGCGUUCCCUCUAAGAACCCAACUUUUAGAACACUUCUAAAACUGUAAUGUCUGCUUGACUCCACUGAGUAGAUGCUGGCAUAAAUUGCUUGGAAUUCCAUUUUUUUCAGAGGUUUAGAGAAGGGAGUUAUUAAAAAAAAAAAAGUGUGAUUUUGCCAGAUAACAGCAGUAUCAAUGUGCCCUGUGCUAUAUACUUCACAUGUAUACUGCAUGGACUUCAGAGAGAAGUCAUAAAUGUUAGUGUUAGUGUGUCAGGUUUGGAAGAAGUCACUUAACACUUUUGCUGUUGAAAGAAACUAGAACAUUCACAGAGUUAGCUAAUAACACUAUAUACUGCUCACAUAUUGUUUUCAAUUUUCUUCUUUCACUAUGCUGCCUCUAACUGUCGUAAGUUACUUUUUUUCUUAUUAUUUGACUGCUUUCUCAAAAGUCUUCAAACAUAACUCACCAAACUCGUUGUGAAAUCUUUUCUGCAGGUUUCUGCAAAUGAUCCAUGCUUAUGUGCCUCUUUCAUGGGGCUGAAACCUACUACUACCAGAAACCAUCUUGUACGAGCUAUCCUGGAAUCUGUAGCUUUCAGAAACAAACAGCUUUUUGAUAUCAUUGUGAAGAAAGUACGCAUUCCUCUUCAAACUGUUCGGUAAGUUCCUUGCAGCUUCAGUUAGAUAUGUGAGAGUUUGAUAUAAACAGGUGUAAACUUAAUCAUGUAUUUUAUCUUAGUGUAAGAAUUCUGCUGCUGAGAAAUGGACUAUUACCAAUUAAAAUGCUGAUGUAACUUCAAAAUUGGCACAGAGGGGUCAUUUAUUAAUAAAUGAUUGGCACUGGUGGUUCUCAGAAGACAGUAAGGACUUGCACUAAUUUAAAAAAUUAAGAUGAAAUAAUUCUCAUGCAGCAUUAGAAUACAUAUAGCAAUGCCUGUUACAAAAAUCAUCCUACCCUUUAUAAUAAAAUCGUUUUGUAAUGGAACUUUUUAUGUGGGGUCUGUCACAGAGUGAUUGUUUUCUGAAGCCUUAGUUAAAACUGGACCUGUUUUUGAAGUGUAAGAGGAAGAAUGUUUUUACAUUUCAAAUGUAAAGACGUUGGCUUGUUUCAGUCUUUUAAGAAGUAAAUCCAGUUUAGUGAGGCAAUAGUAGAAUAGGCUGGAAUAGGCUAAUCACAACUUCUUGGAAAAAUUUAGCAGAAUUCUGUUCUGGAAAACUACCCUGCUCAUUUUAGUAGGUACUUAGUCUGUACAUACUCAUUACUCUAGAGCCUCCAGCCCGCUGUGCUGAGAAAAGCCUUCCCAAAGUUCUCCUUCUGACAGGCAGGGGUCAUUGCAGUGUCACAAUCAAAAACAGUGAAGAGACUUUCUGUCACUUUCCGUGGGUGGAAAACCCAUGCAAAGGGAGAAGUAGACUGGCAGGCAUGUGGACAGAUGAGAAAUGAGAAUUUUGAAUGGUGGAAGGAAGGUGAAAGUACAAAGGUAGGGGAAGGUACAAGUUGAUGUGUUCCAUUGCAUGGAACUGAGUAGGUGAAGAUACAGAAACAGCUAGGCAUAGUGCAGUAGUGCUGGGUAGCAGUGAUUCCUUAGGAAAUUCUGAUCUUGUUUAUGGUAUGAUGUAAACUUUAAAUUGUGUGAUUGUAUUUUGUUUUAUUCCUUAUUAUAAAGUUAUUGUUUCAUAUAGUGACUAUAAUACAGUUUGCUAAUAUCGGUAGAAAUUUAGCUUGUGGAUCAAGGGUUAGAAGAUAAUGACAUACCCUUCAUGGCUUUUUCUGUAGAGUGUACAUUUUACUCCCUUUCUUUUGUCCUCUUUACUAACAAUCCGUUACUUCUGAAUCUUGUUUUAUCCUGCCUUGAGGUUACUUACCCUCUGUAUGUUCAUUCCUUUUUUAGCUACUGUCCCAUAUCCUUUGUUCCCAGCCUCUGCCUCCUACAAGCUCCUAAAAAGAGCUGACGGAGGUGUCAGUAAUAACAGUUUUGUCAUGCAGAUGACUUCAGAUUUGAUUAAUAAGAAAAUAGAAAAGCCUUCAAAUACAGAUAUGUCUAGUCUUGGUGCAGCUUUUCUUGCAGGUCUUGCAUCAGGACUUUGGACUGACAAAGAACAGCUAAAGAAGCUGAGGCGAAUAGAAACAGUUUUUGAGCCUCAGAAGGAUGAGGAGGAAUACAAACCUGCUAUGGACACCUGGAUGCAAGCGGUGAAGUGCUCCUUGCACUGGUAGAAAUUGACAUUUUGGAGACAGAAGGAAUCAAAUUAUAAGAUUUGGUAGUUAACAGAAUGGUUAAAAUUGUAACUGAAAUUUGUGAUGGUAUACAAAAGUUAUAAGGUCCUUUGGUAACCUUUGUGCUGUUGGAGAACUUACCACUCCACAAUGAACCUUCGUAUCAUCCUCACACCAGCUGUAGUCCAGAUGCAGCAUUUGUGUCCCUUCAGUGACCCCCUUUGGGUGGCCCAACUGCUUGAAACCAUACUUUAUAUGUUGGGAGUUUUUUCCUAUGAUGUGUUUUGUACUGAGGAACUCAUCUCUCAUCUGAUCUUUAAAAGCUUUGAUAUGUUAACCAUCAAGGAAUCUAAAAAGGGACAUGCACUUCCCUAGGUAUUUCGAAGAAAAAAAAAAUUAUUUAGGAAAUUAUGGGAAAUUGUUUGCCUGUUACCACAUUUUGAUUGACUUUUUAAGGAAGCAUUUGACCCAGCUGUCUGAUGGCAUUUUUGUGAUGCCUCGGGAUUAUCACAAAAUUAAGAUGAGAAACAAAAGCAAAUAUGCUUUCAAAACUCCUUAAAAGAUGCUUCUUCCCAGGACUUUUGUAGCUGAUGUUUACUACCUAUCUAGUUUGUAGCUACAUUUUUUAAAUUUUAUGAAGACAAAAACUGCAUUAUAUGGCAUGAUUAAUAUGAAUGUUAGCAUACCUGUAACUGCAUUUAACUUGUAAAAAGUCUGUAAUAUUUUCAAGCCCAUCAUUACAUCCUAUUAUUAUUGGGAAAAACAGGGUUGAAAGUCUAUUUUUGAAGUUACUACUUUUACAUUUGCAAAAUAAACUGUAAUUAAAGAAA